CCCACGCCGGGGGCCGAGCCCGCGCGCCGCGCGCCCUGUGGGCGCCCCACCCGGGAGGCCGCCACGCUGCCCGCUUCGGCUGGGUUCCGGAGAAGUGCGAGUCCUUCGUCCUGCAAAUGUGUACUGAGCGCCCAGCGUGUGCCACGCACCAUGCUCCGCACCGGGAAAUCGGAGACCAAAAUAGGUUUUAAAAAACGCCUGCCCUCGUGGAACUUACAUUCUGGCGGAGAAGAUAGACAAUAAAUAUAAAUUUUCAACCGAAGAGAUUUGGCCUCGCGGAAAAAAAAAGAAAGAGAGAGAGAGAAUGCCCCCCAGACCUUCUGUCAGAGUCUCCUGGCAAGAAGCCUUCAUCUAAAGGCCCACAGGCAGGGUACACGUCGUCGGGAUGGUGGAAUCAAGGGGAGGUUCCAAAUAGGGAGCUAUCCAAGUUCGUAUCAGGCUAAGUGGUGGGUCUGAGAAUUAAUACAAAAGGAUCUUGAGAGGUGAGAAAUACAGUCCAAAAUAACAAAAAAGUGAUUCAUCUGGGAGAAAGGCAAAUGAAUACAUCUGGGGGGGGUUACAAACACAGAUGUUCGGGAGAAACUUGGAAAGGGCUUAUGGGUGACUGCUUUAUGGGUAAUAUUUUUUCUACAAAAUAAAUGUAAGUGUGUUUUCCAAGGCAA